rnacentral:rRNA from 1 species
AUUGAACGCUGGCGGCAGGCCUAACACAUGCAAGUCGAGCGGAUGAAGGGAGCUUGCUCCUGGAUUCAGCGGCGGACGGGUGAGUAACGCCUAGGAAUCUGCCUGGUAGUGGGGGAUAACGUCCGUAAACGGGCGCUAAUACCGCAUACGUCCUGAGGGAGAAAGGGGGGGAUCUUCGGACCUCACGCUAUCAGAUGAGCCUAGGUCGGAUUAGCUAGUUGGUGGGGUAAAGGCCUACCAAGGCGACGAUCCGUAACUGGUCUGAGAGGAUGAUCAGUCACACUGGAACUGAGACACGGUCCAGACUCCUACGGGAGGCAGCAGUAGGGAAUAUUGGACAAUGGGCGAAAGCCUGAUCCAGCCAUGCCGCGUGUGUGAAGAAGGUCUUCGGAUUGUAAAGCACUUUAAGUUGGGAGGAAGGGCAGUAAGUUAAUACCUUGCUGUUUUGACGUUACCAACAGAAUAAGCACCGGCUAACUUCGUG